rnacentral:rRNA from 1 species
GAGAGGGUGACCGGCCACACUGGGACUGAGACACGGGCCCAGACUCUACGGGAGGGCAGCAGUGGGGAAUAUUGCACAAUGGGCGCAAAGCUGAUGCAGCGACGCCGCGUGAGGGAUGACGGCUUUCGGGUUGUAAACCUCUUUCAGUAGGGAAGAAGCGAAAGUGACGGUACCUGCAGAAGAAGCACCGGCUAACUACGUGCCAGCAGCCGCGGUAAUACGUAGGGUGCGAGCGUUAUCCGGAAUUAUUGGGCGUAAAGAGCUCGUAGGCGGUUUGUCGCGUCUGUCGUGAAAGUCCGGGGCUUAACCCCGGAUCUGCGGUGGGUACGGGCAGACUAGAGUGCAGUAGGGGAGACUGGAAUUCCUGGUGUAGCGGUGGAAUGCGCAGAUAUCAGGAGGAACACCGAUGGCGAAGGCAGGUCUCUGGGCUGUAACUGACGCUGAGGAGCGAAAGCAUGGGGAGCGAACAGGAUUAGAUACCCUGGUAGUCCAUGCCGUAAACGUUGGGCACUAGGUGUGGGGACCAUUCCACGGUUUCCGCGCCGCAGCUAACGCAUUAAGUGCCCCGCCUGGGGAGUACGGCCGCAAGGCUAAAACUCAAAGGAAUUGACGGGGGCCCGCACAAGCGGCGGAGCAUGCGGAUUAAUUCGAUGCAACGCGAAGAACCUUACCAAGGCUUGACAUGUUCUCGAUCGCCGUAGAGAUACGGUUUCCCCUUUGGGGCGGGUUCACAGGUGGUGCAUGGUUGUCGUCAG